rnacentral:rRNA from 1 species
UUGAACGCUGGCGGCAGGCCUAACACAUGCCAGUCGAGCGGAUGAAGGGAGCUUGCUCCUGGAUUCAGCGGCGGACGGGUGAGUAAUGCCUAGGAAUCUGCCUGGUAGUGGGGGAUAACGUCCGGAAACGGGCGCUAAUACCGCAUACGUCCUGAGGGAGAAAGUGGGGGAUCUUCGGACCUCACGCUAUCAGAUGAGCCUAGGUCGGAUUAGCUAGUUGGUGGGGUAAAGGCCUACCAAGGCGACGAUCCGUAACUGGUCUGAGAGGAUGAUCAGUCACACUGGAACUGAGACACGGUCCAGACUCCUACGGGAGGCAGCAGUGGGGAAUAUUGGACAAUGGGCGAAAGCCUGAGCCAGCCAUGCCGCGUGUGUGAAGAAGGUCUUCGGAUUGUAAAGCACUUUAAGUUGGGAGGAAGGGCAGUAAGUUAAUACCUUGCUGUUUUGACGUUACCAACAGAAUAAGCACCGGCUAACUUCGU